CACAAACGACCGGUAAAAAGUCACCGAAAUGACACAUCAACUUGAAAUUUCUCCUCGUCGGUUUGGCAGUUAACAGGAAACGGCAGGCAUUUAUUUCCAGGGAUUUCAGAACAGCGUAACAGAUAUUGCGUCAUCGGUUUCAAAAACCUGUCGAAAGGAACGUGUCAUUUUCAGAGAAAGCAACACCGAACACUCGACACAGAAAACAAAAGCAUGCAUCGCGAUCUACAGAAUAUUCAAGCCAGGUCCGUGAUUGAUACCAAGCGGCCGAAAAACAUCUCUCUCUCCCUCCAAAAAGAGUUCGGGGGUAUGAUUUCAGAACCGGCUGAAGCUGCAGAUGAACUCGACUCAUCCAUUUCUCCGACCUCAUUGCCGCAAAUGGAUGAGGAGGUGGUAGCUGUGUCCUGGAGAGCUAAAGUGGUUUUCUUUUGUCCUUUUGGAACAAGAAAUCUGUACAUGUUGUAUUUCAUUAGGCUUUAUAUAGUGUGUUAAUCAAGUUCACUAACAGUUCUAAUAAAGUUACUGUGACUGUCA